rfam:Vigna angularis cultivar Jingnong 6 scaffold182_152, whole genome shotgun sequence.
UGUAAUUGGAUAUUCCCAUCUUUUCUAAAGGUUAUUCUCCAGAUAACAAUUAACAGGAGUUUAAUGCUUGUGCUACAUUGUAUGUGGAUUGCAAGUUUGGCUCUUCUGUUACAUAC